GACGAACGCUGGCGGCGUGCUUAACACAUGCAAGUCGAACGGUGAAGCGCCUUCCUUUUUGGUGGGUGUGGAUGAGCGGCGAACGGGUGAGUAACACGUGAGUAACCUGCCCCCUUCUUCUGGAUAACCGCAUGAAAGUGUGGCUAAUACGGGAUAUUCUGGGUCUGUCGCAUGAUGGGUCUGGGAAAGAUAUUGUUUCGGUGGGGGAUGGGCUCGCGGCCUAUCAGCUUGUUGGUGGGGUGAUGGCCUACCAAGGCGGUGACGGGUAGCCGGCCUGAGAGGGUGGACGGUCACACUGGGACUGAGACACGGCCCAGACUCCUACGGGAGGCAGCAGUGGGGAAUAUUGCACAAUGGGCGCAAGCCUGAUGCAGCGACGCCGCGUGAGGGAUGGAGGCCUUCGGGUUGUGAACCUCUUUCGCCAGUGAAGCAGGCCUGCCUCGUUUGUGGGUGGGUUGACGGUAGCUGGAGAAGAAGCGCCGGCUAACUACGUG
rnacentral:rRNA from 1 species